rnacentral:rRNA from 1 species
GAUGAACGCUGGCGGCGUGCCUAAUACAUGCAAGUCGAGCGAACGGACGAGAAGCUUGCUUCUCUGAUGUUAGCGGCGGACGGGUGAGUAACACGUGGAUAACCUACCUAUAAGACUGGGAUAACUUCGGGAAACCGGAGCUAAUACCGGAUAAUAUUUUGAACCGCAUGGUUCAAAAGUGAAAGACGGUCUUGCUGUCACUUAUAGAUGGAUCCGCGCUGCAUUAGCUAGUUGGUAAGGUAACGGCUUACCAAGGCAACGAUGCAUAGCCGACCUGAGAGGGUGAUCGGCCACACUGGAGCUGAAACACGGUCCAGACUCCUACGGGAGGCAGCAGUAGGGAAUCUUGCGCAAUGGGCGAAAGACUGACGGAGCAACGCCGCGUGAGUGAUGAAGGUCUUCGGAUCGUAAAACUCUGUUAUUAGGGAAGAAAAUAUGUGUAAGUAACUGUGCACAUCUUAACGGUACCUAAUCAGAAAGCCACGGCUAACUACGUG